AUGUUGGCUAAUGAAUAAGAAAGGACAACUGUAUGUUGAAUGUAAUAAUGCUGGUGUGAAGUUAGCGAGCACUCAAUGGGAUUUUAGAAAUAUUAUUAUAUAUAUAUAUUUUUUUUCUGGUUUAAGGAAUUAUUCCUGUAUGUCUUUUCGGUGCCAUUGUAGACAGGAAGUGUUCCCUGCUGGAAGAGACUGCUUGCUUUCUUUCUUUCUUUCUUUCUUUUGGGUGGAAAAAGAAAUCACACACUCGCUUAGAAUUGAUUAAAGUUGAGAUCCGCGCGCCAGUGGGUAUCGCCUUUCACCGAUUACGCAGAUGUCUUUUUUGUCAGGCUCUUUGAUACGCCGACGUGUUUCAAUUCUGUUACAUUUGCCGCACAACUAAGCGCGUUGUCUGUCGAGUUCUUCAGGGAUUGUCCAGCGCACUCUUUAACAGUACGAUCAGAUCCCCUCAAAGAAAACAAAAUCAUUUGCACUUUAGAGACGAAUAACGCCAUGAUACACAAACUGGGUUUUUGUUUGUUUGUUUCUGCGCCAUGUUCUCUUUACUUUGGCUUUAAAUAUGAGUAGCUCUGUGUUUUGUUUUUUUUGUUUUGUUUUGUUUUUUUUUCUUUAAAGUCUUAUUAAACUUCGAAUCCGAGAGAGAGGGGGGAUGUAUGAAGUGAAGAACAACGUGUUAUCGUGAAUCUAGCUCUUGUGUAAUGAGGUUUGAAUUCUGUUUGAGAACCUGGUAGCGUUACAACCAAUCCAGGUCAUGAGUUUAGAGACUGGCCCGACGCUCUGGUGCACCGCCGCUCUGGUCUCAUCUUAAAAUAAAAUUUAAAAAAAAUCAACUUUUUAGGGUCUAUAAAAAGGUUUCUGCUUGGAGUGGGGAUUCAGAUUGUUUGAAAUCAAAUCAGGACGUUUUGGCGAAGCUUUUGAAGCGUCCCCAAGCUCAUGCGCGAAUGAUCCCCCCCCCCCCCCCUUUUUAAAGAAAAAUAAAUAAAUAAAUAAAUAAAUAAAGAGAAGUGCUGAGCAAGCCCGUCAGACCAUGACAUUACCACUAACUCUUCACUUUUUUCAGCUUGAGGUUCAACACAAUAUAAUGAUAUACAUUGCACUAAGAUAAAAAUGCCUGAUGUGUGUGUGUAU
ensembl:lncRNA